rnacentral:rRNA from 1 species
UACGGAGGGUGCAAGCGUUAUCCGGAUUCACUGGGUUUAAAGGGUGCGUAGGCGGAUAGGUAAGUCCGUGGUGAAAUCCUGCAGCUUAACUGCAGAACUGCCGUGGAUACUAUCUAUCUUGAAUGUCGUGGAGGUUAGCGGAAUAUGUCAUGUAGCGGUGAAAAUGUUUUAGAUAUGACAUAGAACACCCAUUGCGAAGGCAGCUAACUACGCGAUAAUUGACGCUGAUGCACGAAAGCGUGGGGAUCAAACAGG